GUGUGUGGCCCUGGGCAGCUCUCAGCCUGCCUACUUUGAACUUCGGCUAGGACAGGCCUUGGAUCUAAAGGGUCCUUUAGCCCCAAACACACCCAGCACUUCGAGGGAAGCAAAAAAUUCCAAAGAGCACAGUUUGGGAAACAUUGACCAGUAAGACAGUCUCCAGUACUGUGCUGGGAGUCUUUUAGAUGAUCAUGUCUCAUUGGUGACUUAGAAGGCGCCCAGUGUCUACUGGUCCGGUCAACAGUCAUGUGAACCUGAGUGGGAUGGAGAUGGAGUUAGUGAUGGGUCCAAAGGCUUUGAUGGGGUCAAAAGCUCAAGGAAGUCUGAAACAUCGCAACUGUGAGCUGAAGACCCCAAACUUGGCUUAAAGUGCAGCGUUGAGAGACGAUGUAAGCCUUCUUGACUUGUAUGUUUUCUUGCACUACAGAGAAUGAGUUCUGGACCUAGCACAUGCCAGGCCAGCACUCCAUGACUGAGCUACAUCUCCAACCUUCAGUAUUACCAUCGAGCCCCAUUCAGCAAUGGGAAAAUGAAAUCACCUACCGAUCUCAUAACUUACCUAAGAUGGUCCAAGCUAGCAGGUGUCAGAGCAUGUCAGAGACCAGACCCCUUCAGGGUCUGCUGACUCUGGCCUGGGCAGAGGCUGACUUGGAGCAUCACGCUCAUACCUUUCCGAGCAAGCAGCGCAUGUGUGGGGAGUGGAUGCAGGAUGCAGGAGUUGGGCUGUCUACAUUACCUGGAUGUACCCAGUUGCUGGUAGCAAGAUCGGAUGCUCCACGCUGGUUUUUAAUGGAGUCACACGUUCCUGGUCCUCACUUUGGGGUGGUGGUUUCAGGAACUGGGCAGCCCCACGUUGGGAUAAGAAAGCUGUAACCACUAGGUUCAAGGAAGUCUCACUCACAUAGAGGAAGACAAACCCAAGCUAUGGACUUAGCUUUGCUGUGCCUCAGUUUCCUCCUUUAGUAAGGAGGGGGAGUGGUCUCGAGGCAUACCUGCUGAGGGAUGUCUGGUGUUACCUUCCCCACCUGGGAAAUAGUCAGGGGCCAUGUCACUGGUCCUUCGUGACACAGAUGAUGCCGGUUCCCAGGCCUCAGCCUUGAAGACCAAGGCCAUUUGCCUCCCGGGGGGCCUCUGGCUUUGGAAGGCUUCCCAGGAAUCCUUGAGCUAAGCAUUAUCUUUUCAGCCAGUGUGAGACUUUUGCUUGGGGCUUCCAAACUAAACUAGCUUUGCCUUAAAUACAAGAAAUCAAUCCUUGC